rnacentral:rRNA from 1 species
AACGACUCUCGGCAACGGAUAUCUCGGCUCUCGCAUCGAUGAAGAACGUAGCGAAAUGCGAUACUUGGUGUGAAUUGCAGAAUCCCGUGAACCAUCGAGUCUUUGAACGCAAGUUGCACCGGAAGCUAUUAGGCUGAGGGCACGUUUGCCUGGC